CGGGACGGGUGAGUAAUGCCUAGGAAUCUGCCUGGUAGUGGGGGAUAACGUUCCGAAAGGAACGCUAAUACCGCAUACGUCCUACGGGAGAAAGCAGGGGACCUUCGGGCCUUGCGCUAUCAGAUGAGCCUAGGUCGGAUUAGCUAGUUGGUGAGGUAAUGGCUCACCAAGGCGACGAUCCGUAACUGGUCUGAGAGGAUGAUCAGUCACACUGGAACUGAGACACGGUCCAG
rnacentral:rRNA from 1 species